UUUUAGUCAAAUGUUGACCAUGCAGCCAAUUGUUCUCCUGUAGAGUGAACAAAACCAGACCAUAAGAUUGAGGGCUUGGAGCAGGAGAAAGAGAAAAGGCAGACAAUGACUUUAUAGGGAAAGAACUGAAAGACAACACUAGGAAUUCUCAAAGUGAGAGGAAAGGGAAGGCCUUUUCUUGGAAAUGGCCUCUGAUAAACACACCCUCCAGGGUUACACAUGCCACUGUAUCUUCCAUGGAAAGACAAGCUGCACGUUAGCAGUCCUGAAUAUCUGGAAACUUCCUUUAACAGAGAGUGAGGAAUCUGUCAUCUUGCAUGAUGGGAGCUUGAAGGAAAAAUCUCAGCCUUCCAGAACAUUAUAUAAAACCAGUUAAGAAUUCCCCUAAGAAUGGAGCAGUGGACAAACAAUUGCCGUUAUAAUCCAAAUACAUGAGUCUACCUACAUAAUGGAGAAAUGCUAACUUACAAACAGGUGGACUGAUGUUUGAAUGGUUUUAAUUUCCUACAAUGAAAUUACAGGAAUUAUACAAUUAUGUUGAUUAACUGUCAUCAGUUUUGAGUAUAG